rnacentral:rRNA from 1 species
UUCAGAUGGCGACCGGCGCACGGGUGAGUAACGCGUAUCCAACCUGGGCCCGUAGUAGGGAACAGCCCGGCGAAAGUCGGAUUAAUGCCCUAUGUCUCCGACGAAGACAUCUGAGUUGGAGCAAAGAUUCAUCGCUACGGGAUGGGGAUGCGUCUGAUUAGGUAGUAGGCGGGGUAACGGCCCACCUAGCCAACGAUCAGUAGGGGUUCUGAGAGGAAGGUCCCCCACAUUGGUACUGAGACACGGACCAAACUCCUACGGGAGGCAGCAGUGAGGAAUAUUGGUCAAUGGGCGAGAGCCUGAACCAGCCAAGUAGCGUGCAAGGGACGACUGCCCUAUGGGUUGUAAACUGCUUUUAUGCGGGGAUAAAGUGAGGCAUGUAUGCCUUUUUGCAGGUACCGCAUGAAUAAGGACCGGCUAAUUCCGUGCCAGCCGCCGC